UUCCGGUUGAUCCUGCCGGAGGCUACUGCUAUCGGGAUUCGAUUAAGCCAUGCGAGUCGAGAGGGUUCGGCCCUCGGCUGACUGCUCAGUAACACGUGGAUAACUUGCCCUCAGGUAGGGGAUAAUCUCGGGAAACUGAGGAUAAUACCCUAUAGACAUCCUUUGCUGGAAUGCUUGGAUGUUCAAAGGUAACGCCUGAGGAUAGGUCUGCGGCCUAUCAGGUUGUAGUGGGUGUAAUGGACCCACUAGCCCGCGACGGGUACGGGCCUUGAAAGAGGUAGCCCGGAGAUGGACUCUGAGACACGAGUCCAGGCCCUACGGGGCGCAGCAGGCGCGAAAACUUCGCAAUGCGGGAAACCGUGACGAGGGAAUCCCGAGUGCUCAUACAAUGUAUGGGCUUUUCUUAUGUGUAAAUAGCAUGAGGAAUAAGGGCUGGGUAAGACCGGUGCCAGCCGCCGCGGUAAUACCGGCAGCUCUAGUGGUAGCCACUUUUAUUGGGCCUAAAGCGUCCGUAGCCGGUCAGGUAAAUCCUUGGGUAAAUCGUACAGCUUAACUGUGCGGCUUCCGGGGAGACUGCCUGACUUGGGACCGGGAGAGGUUGGAGGUACUCCUGGGGUAGGGGUGAAAUCCUGUAAUC
rnacentral:rRNA from 1 species